ensembl:lncRNA
CCACCCACCACAUCCCAUCGACCCCACACUGUGCCCCAUUGACCCCACCCUUAACCCCAUAUCCCCCCCUGCCCCCAUAACCCCAACUGUCCCCCCCUUCCUCCCCCAUCCGGCCCCACAGACCCCAUUGCUGCCCCCCCUUUGGUUCUCACUCACCUGAGCACCCCCUAUAGGUGGGGGUCCGACCCCAUAAGCGCCCCCCGGGAUCCCAUAGGACACAGUGGGGGCCGGGGGGGGGCCGGGCCAGGAGAGAGCGGCAGAUGGGGACGGGAUGGGGGCGCCUGUGGGGAGAGGGGGUGGGGGAUAUGGGAUAUAGGAUAGGGGAUAUAGGAUAUGGGAUAUGGGGUGUGGGAUAUGGGAUGUGGGAUAUGGGAUGUGGGGGUGGGAUGUGGGAGGUGGGAUAUGGGGGUGUGGGGUUGGGGUGGGGGAUAUGGGGUGUGGGGUGGGGGAUAUGGGGUGUGGGAUAUGGGAGGUGGGAUACAGGAUAUAGGAUAUGGGAUAUAGGAUAUGGGGGUGGGAUGUGGGAGGAGGGGUAUAGGAUAUGGGAUGUGGGAUAUGGGGGGUGGGGUUGGGGUGGGGGAUAUGGGGUGUGGGAUAUGGGGUGUGGGGUUGGGGUGGGGGAUAUGGGGUGUGGGGUGGGGGAUAUGGGAUAUAGGAUAUGGGAUAUGGGGGGGGGACGUGGGAUGUAGCAUGUAGGAUAUAGGAUAUGAGGGUGGGAGGUGGGAUAUGGGAUAUAGGAUAUGGGAUGUGGGAUAUGGGGGGUGGGGUUGGGGUGGGGGAUAUGGGGGUGGGAUAUGGGAUAUGGAGUGUGGGAUAUGGGGUCUAUAGAAUGUAAGAGCUAUAGGAUAUAGGAUCCAUAGGAUAUAGGUCCAUAAGAUAUAGGGGCUAUAGGAUAUAGGGUCCAUAGGAUAUAGGGCUAUAGGAUAUAGGGGCUAUGGGGGCUAUAGGGACCAUAGGGUCUCUAGAGGAUAUAGGGGCUAUAGGACAUGGGCUAUAGGAUAUAGGGUCCAUAGGAUAUAGGGGCUAUAGGAUAUAGGAGCUAUAGGGUCUAUAGGAAAUAGGGUCUGUAGAAAAUAAGGUCUAUAGGAUAUAGGGGCUAUAGGAUAUAGGGGCCAUAGGAUAUAGGGUCUAUAGGGUCCAUAGAAUAUAGGGUCUAUAGCAUAUAGGGUCCGUAGGAUAUAGGGGCUAUAGGGUCUAUAGGAAAUAGGGUCUGUAGGAAAUAAGGUCUAUAGGAUAUAGGGGCUAUAGAAUAUAGGAUCUAUAGGAUAUAGGGGCUAUAGGAUAUAGGGGUAUAGGAUAUAGGGGCCAUCGGAUAUAAGGGCUAUAGGGUCGAUAGGAAAUCGGGUCUAUAGGAUGUAUAGGGGCUAUAGGAUAUAGGCUGUAUAGGAUAUAGGGGCUAUAGGAUAUAGGGGCUACAGGAUAUAGGGGUAUAGGAUAUAGGGGCUAUAGGAUAUAGGGUCCAUAGGAUAUAGGGUCCAUAGGAUAUAGGGGCUAUAGGGUGUUUGGGGUCUAUAGGGCGCAUGGGGUCUCUGGGUGUGCCCACUCACCGCCGCUGUCCCCGUGGCUCCGCCCCCGC